GAAACCCGGUGAUCUAGCCAUGGGCAGGUUGAAGGUUGGGUAACACUAACUGGAGGACCGAACCGACUAAUGUUGAAAAAUUAGCGGAUGACCUGUGGCUGGGGGUGAAAGGCCAAUCAAACCGGGAGAUAGCUGGUUCUCCCCGAAAGCUAUUUAGGUAGCGCCUCGUGAAUUCAUCUCCGGGGGUAGAGCACUGUUUCGGCUAGGGGGCCAUCCCGGCUUACCAACCCGAUGCAAACUGCGAAUACCGGAGAAUGUUAUCACGGGAGACACACGGCGGGUGCUAACGUCCGUCGUGAAGAGGGAAACAACCCAGACCGCCAGCUAAGGUCCCAAAGUCAUGGUUAAGUGGGAAACGAUGUGGGAAGGCCCAGACAGCCAGGAUGUUGGCUUAGAAGCAGCCAUCAUUUAAAGAAAGCGUAAUAGCUCACUGGUCGAGUCGGCCUGCGCGGAAGAUGUAACGGGGCUAAACCAUGCACCGAAGCUGCGGCAGCGACACUGUGUGUUGUUGGGUAGGGGAGCGUUCUGUAAGCCUGUGAAGGUGUGUCGUGAGGC
rnacentral:rRNA from 1 species